rnacentral:lncRNA from 1 species
UUAACAAAUUCACUGAAACCACCCUUCACUGGAACCCCAAUCCUCAACUUUUUCUCAUUUGUUGGAAUCUCCCAGCCUUUUGGAGGAGAGGUGGUAGCCCCUGGCCAUAUGAUGGGGCCAAGAUUUGGCUUAUGAGUAGAAUUAGUGCUUCUGUUUGCCAAAUUCAAUUCUUUUACAAGUCCACUUUUUGGUGUCCAAAACCCGACUCUUCUUUCCCCAUUUCCAUUUACGUUAACUAUCUGAAAAACUGGUGAUUGUAGCUGUCCAUUAACAAAAUUAAUGUCUCCGGUAAGACCCCUGAAUUUAGUGCUUGACAAUGCUAGGAUAAGUUGUGGACCAUUUUAUGAGACGCCGAGAGAUUCAAGAUCUGUUCCACUGCUGGAAACAUUAGUUUUGUUGAAGCCGAAGUUUCCCAUGCUAACAUUCUCAAUUGCCAUGGCUAGUGCAAAAGUGGCAUCAUAAGCCCACGGUCCAAAAAUGUUCAACUCAGCAUUAAUAAUGGUGGGAUUGUCUUGCUCGAAUUUCCUUUUCCAUCGAACUUUAAAAUUUUCUAACUCAUUUGUUCUGGGAACGUAAGUCCUUACACCUAAAACCCCUUGCAUGGAAUCGAUGGUUGGAGGGUUUGUUAAACUCCAAAGAUUAGUCAUUCCAUCUGUCACGAUCCAAGCAUAGCCUUCACUCAUCAUUCCAACCUCUUUCGCUAUGGCAAAAAGCUUGGUGCCGAGAGAUGGUGGCAUGUGCACAAUGAACACUCUUGUUUGUAUCGUCAUUAGCUUGUAAAUCUCUUCCGAAAUUUGGUCAUCGUUAGCCGAUGAAGGGAUGACACUCCGGUAUGGGACACGAACAUUGAUCCCUUGCAAGGCGUUUGUCAAGUAGGGUAUAAUACCCUCUCCAAUUUCAUCGUCUAUGUAGAUUGGCAUAGCUUCUCUCCAUCCAAAGGCUACAACAAUUGCACAAAUGGCUUUCACUUGAGAUGAGUCAUUUUGUGUAGCUCGGAAAAAGUAUGGACUCCGAAGAAAGGUAAGGGAAGGACUUGUUGCCGAAAACGAUAUGACGGGUACCUGGGAUUUGUUUCCGAGGUUGAUAACAAAAUUGGCCUACAUUGAAGUGUACGGCCCUAUGAUUGCUUGCACUUGUACAUUUUUUAUCAAGUCAAGAGCUGUUUGUCAAGCAAACAAAAUUCUGACUUAAAUAUAGUUGCUGUAGCUGGAUAAUCCUAGAUUAUAUAUGCUCUGACUACUCGUUAACUAAAUCUACAUGUGUCUCGUGCCAAUUAUAUUUUUGCAAUAUACACAUACUUCUCUAUGGUAAUAAUGCCUAUCACUCAUUUUCUUUAAGUCAUUUUCAAGAUAAACUAGUACAAAUAUUUUAAUAGAUUUUAAGCCAAAUAUUCUCGAUACAGCUAGUCUCGAGUUCAUGGUAUAAAAUUAUAUAUAUAUAUAAAGUGAAGGCAAAUUGAUCAGUCACAAAAUCUAAGAUAUAAGUUAUUUAGCCCUUUUAUAUUAUUUUAUUUCAAUAUAAUACAAGUUAUUCAUUUAAAUUUGAUUUUAUAUAUGAAAUUUUUUCAAACUUAUUUUAUAGAAGGAGAAUUCAAACUUAAUUUUUUUAAAAAAGAUAAAUUAAUAUAUAUAUUUGAGAAUCAAAUAACCAAGUAAGUAAAUAUAUAUAUAUAUUUUUUAAUACCAUAAAUCUUUUCCACUUAAAUAUUUGACUUCUUUAUAAGUAUAUCUUUCAUCUACUUAAAUAUUUGUAUUUUUAAAUAUUUUUUUAAUUUAAUCCUUCAACAUCUCAAUUUUAUUCAAUUUAAUUCAUGUACUAUACAUUUUUAUUUAAUUUAAUAUCUAUGUUGUGACACAAAAAAUUUUUAAACAUUUUUUAAUCUAUCACAUGGCACUGACACGCUAGCAUGUCAAUGUCAAGCUCGUCUUCUCAAAGAAUGCUAGUUAGGGUGAUGCCAAUCUCGAAGAGGUGUUGGCGAUUUAAGAGGCCAUUUUAUAGCCUCCUCUUGGGUGCAUUCUUAUAGCAUUAUCAUUGAAUCUGACUCUAUGAGUGUUGUGUCUUGGGUGUCCGAUCCUACUAAAGCUUCGUCAAGGUUGAGACAACUUAUCCUUCAGAUUUGCUCACUCAAAAAUGCAGUUGCUAGCUGGCAGAUCAGGCAUAUUUCAAGAUCAGUAAUGAGGCUGCUAACAUCCUUGCCAAAUUAGGGGUUGAUAGAGUCCAUGAUUUAUUACGCUUUCAGCCUUAAUUGUUGUUGUGACUUUGUGCUUGCGGGGAUUUUUGGGUUAUUGCUUUAGUAUGGAGUUGCUGCCUUUCUCAAUCAUGUGAAGGUAAUGUCUAAUCCGGGGAAUGUCAUGCUUUUGUCAGAUUUGCAAGAGGAGUAAACAUCCAUGAGGGCCAUGUUUCUUACUCUUGUUUAUCAUUUUGCCUAUUUUUGUUUUGGGAUGCGGUUUAUUGCUAAGGAGAUAUGAGAACUUUUUUUGUAUAGUUACAGGUUGUUUCUGACUAUAUUUUUGUAAGCCAGACUUCCAAUAAAGUCCUACUCAUUGUGUAUAUGGGAUUUUCCCUUUUGUUAAUGAAGUUUACUGUCUUUAAUUUUCCAAAAAAAAAAGGUUUAAGCCUCGUCAUUAUUUCAAUCAUAGUCGAAGAAACAACUUAACUAUUUGCAUGCAUUACACUUUACAUCAGGCCUAAACCAACAAUAUGACUCCGUGCGACUCCUUUUCUUGUAAUGGGGACAAAUAGGGAAUCUUGUUCUCCUGUUCUGAACUUUUCUUCCCUGUGAGUUUCUGAUUUCUUUAUCCUUGACUUCACUCACAUAUUUCUUGGUUGAAGCUUCUGCAUGUGCCUUUUCCCUUCAUUCAAAUAAUAAAGGCAAGAUCAGCUUUUUCAUUUUUCCUAGCAACUUUCCUUUAUUCAUCAACUUCUAAAACAUUCACCAAAUUUGAUAUAGAGCUCUGUGAGAUGUCUUUCACUUGUUCCAAAGAAGAAACUGUGGCAUCAAACCUUUCAGGUAAACUGGUAAGGACUUUCUCCACAACCUUAGCAUCAGAUAAAGUCUUUCUCAACAGUCGAAUUUGAUUUUCCAGCUUCAUCACUGCAUUAAUGAAUUCUUGCACAGUCUGAUUUUCUUUCAUCCUCAGAAGUUCAUAUUACCUUCUGAAGUUCUGUAGAUGAAUUGGCUUGUUUAUGGCAGACCCCAAAAGUUCUUCUUCAAGUUUGUUCCAACCCUGUUUUGCUGUCUCACAUCCCAUAAUCAUGCUGAAAACGGACUCUGUAAUAGCUGAGUGUAUGAAGGAUAAGGCUCUGAAUUUCUUUGCAAUAUCCUCUUUAUAUUGCUUUACCUAUGUUAGUGUGGCUUUAUCUCUCAAUGCUGGUACAUCUGUCUCAUUUUCAACUGCAUUCAAUAGAUUGACACCUUUCAAGAAUGCUUUCAUUCUAAUGACCCAAACAAGAUAGUUAGAGCCAUCAAAAAUGGGUGUAGUUUGACAUUUUGAUGAAGAAUAAACUUGUGAUGAGUGAGAAAGAGGUUUUAACUGGCUCACAAAUUGGUUAUCUGCUUUGAUAUCAUGUCAUGAAGCUAAAAGAAGAUGAUAAAAAUAGUAUUAUAUACUGUUCUAUAGAAAAAGGAAAAACAUAGAGCAAGCUGGAGAAGGAAAGAUGCUUCAUUAAUUACUAAACAGAUAAUAUAUAUACAAGCAUCAUAUGGUUAACAACUGUUUACAAAGUGUACAAGUGUUAUUAACUAAAACAUGCACUAAAACACCUUAUAAACACUGGUAUAAUAUUCUUAAUAACCAGUACAAUGAAGCAAAAUACAUAGUAAAAAACAAAAUGAUAAAGUUAAUGCAUGCUUUAACUCUAACUUGUACAUCAAUUUAUAUUCUUCAUUACCGACGUUGUCAAUGGAGCAAAGGGGAAUAUCUACACCAAUUAUUCUCUGGGGCCAUUUGUAGUGUUACCAAGCUCAAUAGACUGUCUUCCGGGAGAAGGGAAUAUCUCUGGAGAAGCUGUAACACUUGGGGUAAUAUCACCAUUUUCAGCUACUCUUCGUUGAUCUGCCGAGAACACAAAGUCUGGCUCUGUCUGGUUUGAGUAGCUUGAUGGACUUGGUGGGCAGUUAGUGUUUGGUGAGUCUCCUGCAACGCUAAUACUAUGAACACUAUCAUUUUCGCUUUUGUCUUCGAGUUCACUUUUUCUGAAAGUAUGGGAGCUAAGGUCUCUUUGGUCGAAAAUUCUUGACAUGAUCUGAAUUCUUCUCCAGAAAGGAGUUUCAGAAUCAAAACGCAACAAGACAUGCCUUUGCUCAUAAAAAAAUAUUGCUACAAAUAUGAUUAGAGCUGAUAUUGAGGCGACUCCAGCAAUAAGGAACAAGCCCCCAAAACUCUCAACACCAAGACUGUUGGAAGAAACCAAAGUGUUGAGGUCAGGACAACUGCUUCCCUUAUUGAACCAGGCCUGUUCAAUUUGAUUCAUUUUUUCACCCUCAGUAACAUUUAGGAUUGCCCUGGAAACAUCUGCUACAAGAGGGGAACCUCUAGGGAAGACCUAUAAAUUACAAAAUAGUAUCAUCAUAAAGAAACAUCCCAUAUGGUUAGAGAGAAAAUUAGAGAUUAAGAGAGAACUCACAAAACCGAAGCCAUCAGUUCUCAAUUUUGGUUCGACUGCGGUAUAUUCGUCGCAAUAUUUGGCGAGAAAGAGCUUCAUAUAAGGAAUUUCGUCCAAAGUAGCAACAACCCCACCAUUGGCACUUCCUUUGGUAAAGAGAUCAUGAAGUUCUUCUGGGGACUGGUAUUCUAUGAGCUGGGAUUCAGGAAAUCUAAACUGACCCUUCAAGAUUCCUUCGAUAAAGGAGUCUUUCAGGAAACCAACCUUUUCCCCUUUCUUUAAGAGCUAUUGUAUGUCAGUUACCGUAGGUUGGAGCUGUUGCACAGUUAGAAGUGAAGUCAAACUAGCCGUGUAGCUUUGGGUGAGAAUGAGGACGACGAAACACCAUAUUAUUACCACGAAUCGAGCCAAGUUACUGACAACUCUCUCCCCUGCAAUUAUAAUCCAAGAAGCAAAGAAAGUAAACAAUCUGAAGUCAAUAGUACAACUUCGUAAAUAGAGAAGGUGAAAGAAUUAGUACGAUGUGCAAACACCAUGGUCGAGAAGGAGAACCAGAAACUCGUGCCAGCUUGAUGCGAAGGGGGUCCCCUGAAAUCUUCAUUUAUUCUGUGUUCUAGAACCCAAACAACAAAUCCGAUGAAAAGGAAAAAACAAGCACUUGUCACCCAGAGGUCCCAUGUCAGAGGUUUCAAGAAAACCCAUGCAUUCUUCCUCCUGUUAUCUCUGAUCGGUACAAACAUUGAUACACCUGAUUCAGUGUAUGGUAAUGUGAAGUCCACGUAUUGUGACCUGUUUGCCACAAUCGUUGUAUCUCCUACCACCGCAUCGUAUGUCUGUUCAUUUUUGCCAAAAAAAUUAAUGAAAAUUCCUGUUGACAAACUCAACGUAUAAAGAAGAUAAGGAGAUGUUUUACCCCAUUGUACACUUGAAAGAUUAAGUCAUCAUAAGUCCCGGCGCUCUUGCCAUAUGGUGUUGCAAAGGGAAUGAACUCAUAAGUAACAGCAUAAGGCAUUGCAGCCAUUACAGCAUCAAAAACAUCUAUGCAAUAUCCGGUGACUGAAGUAGCUGUAUGAGAAUUAGGAUCCCAUGUUACUUUAACAAAUUCACUGAAACCACGCUUCAUUGGAACCCCAAUCCUCAACUUCUUCUCAUUUGUUGGAAUCUCCCAGCCUUUUGGAGGAGAGGUGGUAUCCCCUGGCCAUAUGAUGGGGCCAAGAUUUGGCUUAUGAGUAGAAUUAGUGCUUCUGUUUGCCAAAUUCAAUUCUUUUACAAGUCCACUUUUUGGUGUCCAAAACCCGACUCUUCUUUCCCCAUUUCCAUUUACGUUAAC